CCUACGGGUGGCAGCAGUCGAGAAUCAUUCACAAUGGGGGAAACCCUGAUGGUGCGACGCCGCGUGGGGGAAUGAAGGUCUUCGGAUUGUACACCCCUGUCAUGUGGGAGCAAAUUAAAAAGAUAGUACCACAAGAGGAAGAGACGGCUAACUCUGUGCCAGCAGCCGCGGUAAUACGGAGGGAUCAAGCGGUGUUCGGAACCACUGGGCGUAAAGCGUGCGGAUGCUGUUUCGUAAGUCGUUGGUGAAAGGUGCGGGCUCAACCCGCGGACGGAACAUGAUACUGCGAGACUAGAGUAAUGGAGGGGGAACCGGAAUGCUCGGUGUAGCAGUGAAAUGCGUAGAUAUCGAGAGGAACACUCGUGGCGAAGGCGGGUUCCUGGACAUUAACUGACGCUGAGGCACGAAGGCCAGGGGAGCGAAAGGGAUUAGAUACCCUAGUAGUC
rnacentral:rRNA from 1 species